rnacentral:tRNA from 1 species
GGGGCUAUAGCUCAGUUUGGCAGAGCGCUGCAAUGGCAUUGCAGAGGUCGUCGGUUCGAGCCCGACUAGCUCCA